UACGUAGGGGGCAAGCGUUGUCCGGAAUCAUUGGGCGUAAAGCGCGCGUAGGCGGCCCGGUAAGUCCGUUGUAAAAGUCAAAGGCUCAACCUUUGAACGCCGAUGGAUACUGCCGGGCUAGAGUCCGGAAGAGGCGAGUGGAAUUCCUGGUGUAGCGGUGAAAUGCGCAGAUAUCAGGAGGAACACCGGUGGCGAAGGCGGGUCUCUGGGCCGUAACUGACGCUGAGGAGCGAAAGCAUGGGGAGCGAACAGG
rnacentral:rRNA from 1 species